rnacentral:rRNA from 1 species
GACGAACGCUGGCGGCGUGCUUAACACAUGCAAGUCGAACGGUGAAGCGCCUUCCUUUUUGGUGGGUGUGGAUGAGUGGCGAACGGGUGAGUAACACGUGAGUAACCUGCCCCCUUCUUCUGGAUAACCGCAUGAAAGUGUGGCUAAUACGGGAUAUUCUGGGUCUGUCGCAUGAUGGGUCUGGGAAAGAUAUUGUUUCGGUGGGGGGUGGGCUCGCGGCCUAUCAGCUUGUUGGUGGGGUGAUGGCCUACCAAGGCGGUGACGGGUAGCCGGCCUGAGAGGGUGGACGGUCACACUGGGACUGAGACACGGCCCAGACUCCUACGGGAGGCAGCAGUGGGGAAUAGUGCACAAUGGGCGCAAGCCUGAUGCAGCGGCGCCGCGUGAGGGAUGGAGGCCUUCGGGUUGUGAACCUCUUUCGCCAGUGAAGCAGGCCUGCCUCGUUUGUGGGUGGGUUGACGGUAGCUGGAUAAGAAGCGCCGGCUAACUACGUG